UACGGGGGGGGUAAGCGUUGUUCGGAAUUACUGGGCGUAAAGGGCUCGUAGGCGGCCAACUAAGUCGGACGUGAAAUCCCUCAGCUUAACUGGGGAACUGCGUCCGAUACUGGAUGGCUUGGAUUUGGGAGAGGGAUGCGGAAUUCCUGGUGUAGCGGUGAAAUGCGCAGAUAUCAGGAGGAACACCGAUGGCGAAGGCAGUGUUCUGGGCCGAAACUGACGCUGAGGAGCGAAAGCGUGGGGAGCGAACAGG
rnacentral:rRNA from 1 species